rnacentral:rRNA from 1 species
AACGAACGCUGGCGGCAUGCCUAACACAUGCAAGUCGAACGAGACCUUCGGGUCUAGUGGCGCACGGGUGCGUAACGCGUGGGAACCUGCCUUUAGGUUCGGAAUAACUCAGAGAAAUUUGAGCUAAUACCGGAUAAUGUCUUCGGACCAAAGAUUUAUCGCCUUUAGAUGGGCCCGCGUUGGAUUAGCUAGUUGGUGGGGUAAAGGCUCACCAAGGCGACGAUCCUUAGCUGGUCUGAGAGGAUGAUCAGCCACACUGGGACUGAGACACGGCCCAGACUCCUACGGGAGGCAGCAGUGGGGAAUAUUGGACAAUGGGCG